CAGGUUUGAACCAGGGGCCUCUGUAGCUUAGUGCAUGAGCAGCUACCGCUUGUGCUAAAAGCCAACUGGCUGAUAGCUAAGGCUGUAGAGCAGACUCAUUUUAUCUCUCUAAGUGGUCUCAGUACCACUAGAUGGGACAGAACACCACACCCA